AGAGUUUGAUCAUGGCUCAGAUUGAACGCUGGCGGAAUGCUUUACACAUGCAAGUCGAACGGCAGCACGGGGGCAACCCUGGUGGCGAGUGGCGAACGGGUGAGUAAUACAUCGGAACGUGCCCAGUCGUGGGGGAUAACGUAGCGAAAGCUACGCUAAUACCGCAUACGAACUCUGGUUGAAAGCGGGGGAUCGCAAGACCUCGCGCGAUUGGAGCGGCCGAUGGCAGAUUAGGUAGUUGGUGGGGUAAAGGCUCACCAAGCCGACGAUCUGUAGCUGGUCUGAGAGGACGACCAGCCACACUGGGACUGAGACACGGCCCAGACUCCUACGGGAGGCAGCAGUGGGGAAUUUUGGACAAUGGGCGCAAGCCUGAUCCAGCCAUUCCGCGUGCAGGAUGAAGGCCCUCGGGUUGUAAACUGCUUUUGGACGGAACGAAAAGGCCUUUUCUAAUACAGAGGGCUCAUGACGGUACCGUCAGAAUAAGCACCGGCUAACUACGUGCCAGCAGCCGCGGUAAUACGUAGGGUGCAAGCGUUAAUCGGAAUUACUGGGCGUAAAGCGUGCGCAGGCGGUGAUGUAAGACAGGUGUGAAAUCCCCGGGCUUAACCUGGGAACUGCAUUUGUGACUGCAUCGCUGGAGUGCGGCAGAGGGGGAUGGAAUUCCGCGUAGCAGUGAAAUGCGUAGAUAUGCGGAGGAACACCGAUGGCGAAGGCAAUCCCCUGGGCCUGCACUGACGCUCAUGCACGAAAGCGUGGGGAGCAAACAGGAUUAGAUACCCCAGUAGUCC
rnacentral:rRNA from 1 species